rnacentral:lncRNA from 1 species
UAUCCUUGAGCUGGUUUAGCCUGCCUGCCAAGACAGAUCGUGGCUAUUGCACUUGCUACAGCUUCUUGGGGCCACAGUCACUAUACUAUAUAGUCCAUUACACUAUAGUGGAAGGAGUGAGAUGACCAGAACUCAAGUCCUGGACCUUUUACUUUUUGGAUCUCUGACCAUGAUCUACCUUCUGACUUCAAACUUGAUGUUAGAGCCAGAAUCUGUGCACUUCUGCAGUGAAGGUCAAGGCUGAUCUGGUUGCUGCUUUCUUGGAGGGUAUUAUGUGAUAUGUUGUUCCAGGAUCUCAGGGACAAUUUAGGGUAAGGUCUUAUAACCUUUCAGUCCUACCAAAGCAAUCUAAUCUGGGGCAAAGUUUUAUUUCUGUACCUCUGAUCUAAGCUCUGCAGGUUCCUGAUCUGGAUUUGGGUCUGAGCAAUAGUAAAUUAAUAUUGAACUCAGCC